rnacentral:rRNA from 1 species
CCUACGGGUGGCUGCAGUGGGGAAUAUUGGACAAUGGGGGCAACCCUGAUCCAGCCAUGCCGCGUGUGUGAAGAAGGCCCUCGGGUUGUAAAGCACUUUCAGUGAGGAAGAACGCCUGGUGGUUAAUACCCAUCAGGAAAGACAUCACUCACAGAAGAAACACCGGCUAACUCCGUGCCAGCAGCCGCGGUAAUACGGAGGGUGCGAGCGUUAAUCGGAAUUACUGGGCGUAAAGCGCGCGUAGGUGGCUUGAUAAGCCGGUUGUGAAAGCCCCGGGCUCAACCUGGGAACGGCAUCCGGAACUGUCAAGCUAGAGUGCAGGAGAGGAAGGUAGAAUUCCCGGUGUAGCGGUGAAAUGCGUAGAGAUCGGGAGGAAUACCAGUGGCGAAGGCGGCCUUCUGGACUGACACUGACACUGAGGUGCGAAAGCGUGGGUAGCAAACAGGAUUAGAUACCCCUGUAGUC